rnacentral:rRNA from 1 species
AUUGAACGCUGGCGGCAUGCCUUACACAUGCAAGUCGAACGGUAAUAGGUCUUCGGAUGCUGACGAGUGGCGAACGGGUGAGUAAUACAUCGGAACGUGCCUAGUAGUGGGGGAUAACUACUCGAAAGAGUGGCUAAUACCGCAUGAGAUCUACGGAUGAAAGCAGGGGAUCGCAAGACCUUGUGCUACUAAAGCGGCCGAUGGCAGAUUAGGUAGUUGGUGGGAUAAAAGCUUACCAAGCCGACGAUCUGUAGCUGGUCUGAGAGGACGAUCAGCCACACUGGGACUGAGACACGGCCCAGACUCCUACGGGAGGCAGCAGUGGGGAAUUUUGGACAAUGGGCGCAAGCCUGAUCCAGCAAUGCCGCGUGCAGGAUGAAGGCCUUCGGGUUGUAAACUGCUUUUGUACGGAACGAAAAGCCCUGGGUUAAUACCCUGGGGUCAUGACGGUACCGUAAGAAUAAGCACCGGCUAACUACGUGCCAGCCGCCGCGGUAAGAC